GGGAAUGUGGCUUAGUGGUAGAGCGCUUGCUUAGCAUGCAUGAAGCCCUGGGUUCGAUACCUCAGUACCA
rnacentral:tRNA from 1 species